AGUAAAGUUAAAAGCUAAAAGUAAAAUUCGACACUUUUAAAUAAAAAAAGAACGACAAACAAAGACGAAGGCUAAAAUAUUCGCUAAAAAAUUCUACGUAACUUCCGGUUUAGCGCGACACGAUUCUUCAGUGUGUCAGUAACGAUGAUUCUGCAAGGAUCGGUAAACAGAUCGAAGAUAGAACAGUGAUCAACGAUCGACAAGAGAAGAAAACGGUUGGGUCGAAUUAUAAAUUCUUAAUGUUUAUCAAUUUGUAAGAACAUUUCAUCGAGGGUAAGGUGAGACGAUCGUUCGACGAGAAACGAUAUCCUGAUCUUCCUCGGCAGGAUUUGAUGCGCGCGAAACGGGCCGGCUGAGAAUCUCUCGCGUUCCAGGUCGGAUGAAAACAGCAAUCCGGACGUUUGACAAACGAGAACGACGGCAACGCGUUGCAGGAACGAUUCGAGUGAAAGAAAACGGGCAAACAAGAAGCUCCCAUCGCUCUUUACAUCAUCCGGAGAGAAAGUUCUGAACGAAGAGUGGUAUUAUAUAUUUCGCGGAGUCUUCCAAGGAAUAAUCCCUUUUAUACUUGGAGAAAGAGGCGCGUUCGAGUUCCAAAAAAAGAAAAAAAAAAAAAAAAAAAAAGAAGAAGAAGAAGAAGAUUUUAACUAAAGAGAAACAAAGUGAACAGAGUGUAUAGUCCACGUGACUGAUUAUUAGCGAGCUGAAAAACUGAAUCGCGGAGUUGUUCCCCGAAGCGGAACGGAAGUGAGUCGAAGAAAGAACGAGGACUUCCGCUUCUCGAAGUGAGGAAGCGAAACGAAACGAGGGGGAGAAAAAGAAAAGAAACAGGAAGGGCAAAAAGAAGUAGCUUGAAAAUUUUUCAAACGAUCCCUGAAUCAUGUGAACGUUUCAACUCGCUAGCCAAAGUCGUCCAAGAUCGCGCGCCGAGCUCGAAAUUGUCUCCAACCUGGAAGGAUCUUUCGCCUCUUUCCUGAACGUCAUCGGAUUUCUCUCGCAAGAAUCGGUUAAUAGAGAUUCUUCGCCCUUCUUCGUCGAGAGAAGGGGAAUUUGGAUCGCUUUGACGGCGAACGACGAAGCGUGACCGUGUGCCGGAAGUCGAGGAGCUUUCGACAUCGAACGAAGGCUUUCGCCCACGAUGAGAAACAGUUCCGCGAGACGUAACACGCUCGGCGAGCUCGCAGUCACCAUGAUGGGAACAUCGUUUAGCCGCGUUCCGAGAUAAUCGAGGCCGCUUCUUUUCGGCGAAAUAUAUCGGUGGCGCGAGGAACGAACCGGAAACGAAGAAUGCGAGGCGCCGCGUAGAAGAUUGGUUGUCGAGAAGAGCGACGUUUUACCAGAGUGAAAGAAAGAGGCAAGAAUUACCAUGAGGGAUAAAUUUGCAUUCAGCUCGGGGGUGCCGGACAUGCACGAGACCCUGUCCAGUUUUUCGGAACAGUUCAGGGAUGGGCCCACGAAGCCGGAAAUAAAGUCGGAAGCAGCGAAGGAGUCGGAGAGGUCAACCGAGCCCAAGUGUGGCUGGUUCUGGUUCAAGCCUGUUUACCUGCAGCAAUUUCGAACCGCGAAAUGGGCGCUUUUCUGGUUGUGCUGGACAGGUGCAAUGCAAGGAAUGGUGGUGAACGGUUUCGUGAACGUGGUCAUAACCACGAUAGAAAGGAGAUUUGGUCUAAGAUCGUCGCAGACUGGCCUGAUAGCAGGCGGAUACGACAUUGCCAGUUUCCUUACUCUGGUUCCAGUGAGCUACCUCGGCGGUCGCUCAAAAGCAUCAAAACCAAGGUACAUAGGCAUAGGCGUUUUACUAUUAGGUUUAGGAAGUCUACUUUUCGCGUCCCCCCACUAUAUCGCCGGGCCAUACAGAGGCGGUCAGCAGUCGGAGAAUAUAUGCCAGAGGGUGACGAACACAUCGUCCCGCUCGCUGUCUUGUAAUGGGUCCGUGGGCCAAGUGGACCAGGAACCGUACAGCGGGCUGUACUUAACUAUCUUUCUGAUGGCCCAACUUCUGCACGGAGCAGGCUCCGCUCCUUUUUACACGCUCGGCGUUACGUACCUAGACGAGAACGUGUCGAAAAAGAUGUCCUCUGUGUACGUAGGAAUUUUCUACACAAUGGCCAUAAUAGGACCUGCACUGGGGUACGUGGUCGGUGGCGAAUUAUUGAAGCUGUACACAGAUUUCAUCACCGUGGACCCGUCAGAGAUCGGCCUGACACCGAACAGCAACGUGUGGGUGGGAGCAUGGUGGAUAGGUUUCCUAGCGGCUGCAGUCAUAUGUUUCGCGAUUGCUAUACCGAUCUUGGCGUUCCCGGCAGCUUUACCUGGUUCGGAGAAACUGGCCAAAGAGAGGGUGUCAGAGGCGCACCAGAAGCCCGAGCAGCCGUCCUCGAGCGAUCGAGGGGAGGCGUUCUCGAAAAUACGGGAACUGCCUCGCGCUCUCACCGAUCUGCUCGGUAAUCCGGGGUUUUUCAUGUUGAAUCUGGCAGGUGCCAGUGAAGGAUUACUUAUCGCUGGUUUCGCCGCGUUCCUGCCGAAACUGAUCGAAAAUCAAUUCAACGUCAGCCCUAGCUCCGCCGCAUUACUAAUGGGUCUAGUGACUGUGCCCGCAGGCGGUGGCGGUACCUUCCUCGGUGGUUACCUCAUAAAGCGUUUUAAUUUGUCCUGCUCCGGCAUUUUGAAGUUUUGCCUGUUGGCCACCGCGUCCUGCAUCGCCUUCACUCUGUGCUUCGUUCUCAACUGCCCGAAUUUGAACUUCGCCGGAGUCACCGUGCCCUACACGGACCAGGCCAAGAAACCUUUCUCGUUGGACAGCACGUGCAAUAAUGGCUGCGGUUGUUCGAGGUCGGAGUUCAGCCCUAUAUGCGGAGUCGAUGGGAUCACGUAUUACUCCCCUUGUCACGCCGGAUGUUACCAAGGAACGAGGAUAAAUAACGUCGAAGUGUAUUCAGACUGCACUUGCAUACGCACGCCACCGAUAAAUCUGACCAUCGCCGACAACGUGGUCAGUUACGAGGCAAUAAACACGACUUGCAACACGUCGUGCUCCUACCUAUGGCCGUUCAUCGUUCUGGCGUUUUGCAACAUGUUCAUCACGUUCCUUUGCACGAUGCCAGCGCUCUCCGCGACGCUCCGCGUCGUUCGAGACGAUCAGAGAUCGUUCGCCCUUGGCAUUCAGUGGAUCAAGGUCCGAAUUCUGGGCACCAUACCUGCACCUAUGGUGUUCGGUGCCCUUAUAGACGACACUUGCAUUUUGUGGAACGAAACCUGCGACGGCGGAGGAUCUUGCCUUGUUUAUGACAACUUGUACAUGAGCAGGUAUAUGCUGGCGUUAGCUUUCAUCGGUAAAGCAGCGUCCCUCCUUUUCUUUUUCUUGGCUUGGUGGACGUACAUACCUCCAGGGAACAGAACUCAAAACUCGCGGGAGGAGCCGACAACUUUAAUGUUGAAUGAUACACAGCACGAAACACCAACCACGCCAUCAACAAUAAACCCUAUAAUCGAUCCAUAAAUGAUAAUCUGACAGUUUGUUACUCUAUUAAAUCGAGUAUCGAUUGAUGUAACAUUUCGACUUGUUUAUCGUAAAAUAACCAAUUGUAAAAGAUGCUGAACUGUACAUGGGAUAGAAUGGAUAUUUAUUUGUUGUGACUGCGAUCGAAGAUCACAGGAGGAAGAUACACCAUAAAAUAAUUAUUUUACCGGGAAAAACAAUUGUAAUUGAUUAAUUUUGUAUGAUUUUAUAAUACGUAUAUUUCU